AUUGAACGCUGGCGGCAGGCCUAACACAUGCAAGUCGAACGGUAACAGGAAGCAGCUUGCUGCUUCGCUGACGAGUGGCGGACGGGUGAGUAAUGUCUGGGAAGCUGCCUGAUGGAGGGGGAUAACUACUGGAAACGGUAGCUAAUACCGCAUAAUGUCGCAAGACCAAAGAGGGGGACCUUCGGGCCUCUUGCCAUCGGAUGUGCCCAGAUGGGAUUAGCUUGUUGGUGGGGUAACGGCUCACCAAGGCGACGAUCCCUAGCUGGUCUGAGAGGAUGACCAGCCACACUGGAACUGAGACACGGUCCAGACUCCUACGGGAGGCAGCAGUGGGGAAUAUUGCACAAUGGGCGCAAGCCUGAUGCAGCCAUGCCGCGUGUAUGAAGACGGCCUUCGGGUUGUAAAGUACUUUCAGCGGGGAGGAAGGGAGUAAAGUUAAUACCUUUGCUCAUUGACGUUACCCGCAGAAGAAGCACCGGCUAACUCCGUG
rnacentral:rRNA from 1 species